AGUGAACGCUGGCGGCGUGCUUAACACAUGCAAGUCGAACGAGAACGGAUUAUAGCUUGCUAUAAUUGUCAGCUAAGUGGCGCACGGGUGAGUAAUGUAUAGGUAAUAUGCCUCUUACUAAGGGAUAACCAAUGGAAACGUUUGCUAAUACCUUAUACUCCUUAUUAACAGAAGGUAAUAAGGGAAAGAUUUAUUGGUAAGAGAUUAGCCUGUAUUGUAUCAGUUAGUUGGUGGGGUAAUGGCUUACCAAGACUAUGACACAUAACUGGUUUGAGAGGAUGAGCAGUCACACGGGAACUGAGACACGGUCCAGACUCCUACGGGAGGCAGCAGUGGGGAAUAUUGCACAAUGGACGAAAGUCUGAUGCAGCAACGCCGCGUGGAGGAUGACACAUUUCGGUGCGUAAACUCCUUUUAUAUGAGAAGAUAAUGACGGUAUUAUAUGAAUAAGCACCGGCUAACUCCGUGCCAGCCGCCGCCGUAA
rnacentral:rRNA from 1 species